rnacentral:rRNA from 1 species
AUCGAACGCUGGCGGAAUGCUUUACACAUGCAAGUCGAACGGCAGCACGGGGCAACCUGGUGGCGAGUGGCGAACGGGUGAGUAAUACAUCGGAACGUGCCCAAUCGUGGGGGAUAACGUAGCGAAAGUUACGCUAAUACCGCAUACGAUCUACGGAUGAAAGCGGGGGAUCGCAAGACCUCGCGCGAAUGGAGCGGCCGAUGUCAGAUUAGGUAGUUGGUGGGGUAAAGGCUCACCAAGCCAACGAUCUGUAGCUGGUCUGAGAGGACGACCAGCCACACUGGAACUGAGACACGGUCCAGACUCCUACGGGAGGCAGCAGUGGGGAAUUUUGGACAAUGGGCGCAAGCCUGAUCCAGCCAUUCCGCGUGCAGGAUGAAGGCC